UUAUGAUUUACGACGAGAAGAUUUGUUUGUGUUUCCGGGUUCAAAGUGAUCAUUUUGAUGAGUUUUUCGCCCCUGAGUUGGACAAACAUGGUUAUCAAGCUCUCUACAAGAAGAAGACAACAGAGGUUUACACCGGA